CUGGCGGCAGGCUUAACACAUGCAAGUCGAACGAAGUUAGGAAGCUUGCUUCUGAUACUUAGUGGCGGACGGGUGAGUAAUGCUUAGGAAUCUGCCUAGUAGUGGGGGAUAACUUGGGGAAACCCAAGCUAAUACCGCAUACGACCUACGGGUGAAAGGGGGCGCAAGCUCUCGCUAUUAGAUGAGCCUAAGUCGGAUUAGCUAGUUGGUGGGGUAAAGGCCUACCAAGGCGACGAUCUGUAGCUGGUCUGAGAGGAUGAUCAGCCACACUGGGACUGAGACACGGCCCAGACUCCUACGGGAGGCAGCAGUGGGGAAUAUUGGACAAUGGGCGAAAGCCUGAUCCAGCCAUGCCGCGUGUGUGAAGAAGGCCUUUUGGUUGUAAAGCACUUUAAGUGGGGAGGAAAAGCUUAUGGUUAAUACCCAUAAGCCCUGACGUUACCCACAGAAUAAGCACCGGCUAACUCUGUGCCAGCAGCCGCGGUAAUACAGAGGGUGCAAGCGUUAAUCGGAAUUACUGGGCGUAAAGCGCGCGUAGGUGGUUAUUUAAGUCAGAUGUGAAAGCCCCGGGCUUAACCUGGGAACUGCAUCUGAUACUGGAUAACUAGAGUAGGUGAGAGGGGAGUAGAAUUCCAGGUGUAGCGGUGAAAUGCGUAGAGAUCUGGAGGAAUACCGAUGGCGAAGGCAGCUCCCUGGCAUCAUACUGACACUGAGG
rnacentral:rRNA from 1 species